CACCCAUUGCAAACUGCUUUAACCGAGACCUGUGAGCAGUAUAAGCAAUAGUCUCUCAUAUCCAGUAGCGAGGGGUUACUGGAAAUAAGUUUCGCAU
ncrna:unclassified sequences PhotoRC-II RNA